rnacentral:rRNA from 1 species
AGUGAACGCUGGCGGCAGGCCUAACACAUGCAAGUCGAACGGCAGCACAGUAAGAGCUUGCUCUUACGGGUGGCGAGUGGCGGACGGGUGAGGAAUACAUCGGAAUCUACUUUUUCGUGGGGGAUAACGUAGGGAAACUUACGCUAAUACCGCAUACGACCUUCGGGUGAAAGCAGGGGAUCUUCGGACCUUGCGCGACUGAAUGAGCCGAUGUCGGAUUGCUUGGUGGCGGGGUAAAGGCCCAACAAGGCGACGAUUCGUAGGUGGACUGAGAGGAGGAUCAGCCGCACUGGAACUGAGACACGGACCCGACGCCUACGAGAGGCAGCAGUGGGGAAUCUUGGACAAUGGGCGGAAGCCUGAUCCAACCAUACCGCGUGGGUGAAGAAGGCCUUCGGGUUGUAAAGACCUUUUGUUGGGAAAGAAAAGCAGCAGGUUAAUACCCCGCUGUUCUGACGGUACCCAAAGAAUAAGCACCGGCUAACUUCGUG